rnacentral:rRNA from 1 species
GACGAACGCUGGCGGCGUGCUUAACACAUGCAAGUCGAACGGAAAGGCCCUGCUUUUGUGGGGUGCUCGAGUGACGAACGGGUGAGUAACACGUGAGUAACCUGCCCUUGACUUUGGGAUAACUUCAGGAAACUGGGGCUAAUACCGGAUAGGAGCUCCUGCUGCAUGGUGGGGGUUGGAAAGUUUCGGCGGUUGGGGAUGGACUCGCGGCUUAUCAGCUUGUUGGUGGGGUAGUGGCUUACCAAGGCUUUGACGGGUAGCCGGCCUGAGAGGGUGACCGGCCACAUUGGGACUGAGAUACGGCCCAGACUCCUACGGGAGGCAGCAGUGGGGAAUAUUGCACAAUGGGCGGAAGCCUGAUGCAGCAACGCCGCGUGCGGGAUGACGGCCUUCGGGUUGUAAACCGCUUUCGCCUGUGACGAAGCGUGAGUGACGGUAAUGGGUAAAGAAGCACCGGCUAACUACGUG